UACGUAGGGUGCAAGCGUUGUCCGGAAUUAUUGGGCGUAAAGAGCUCGUAGGCGGUCUGUCGCGUCGGCUGUGAAAUCCCGGAGCUCAACUCCGGGUCUGCAGUCGAUACGGGCAAACUGGAGUACUGCAGGGGAGACUGGAAUUCCUGGUGUAGCGGUGAAAUGCGCAGAUAUCAGGAGGAACACCUGUGGCGAAAGCGGCGCACUGGACCACAACUGACGCUGAGGCGCGAAAGCUAGGGGAGCAAACAGG
rnacentral:rRNA from 1 species